rnacentral:misc_RNA from 1 species
CGAAAUGCGAUAAGUAAUGUGAAUUGCAGAAUUCAGUGAAUCAUCGAAUCUUUGAACGCACAUUGCGCCCGCCAGUAUUCUGGCGGGCAUGCCUGUUCGAGCGUCAUUUCAACCAUCAAGCCCCCGGCUUGUGUUGGGGACCUGCGGCUGCCCGCAGGCCCUGAAAAACAGUGGCGGGCUCGCUGUCACACCGAGCGUAGUAGCAUACAUUCUCGCUCAGGGCGUGCUGCGGGUUCCGGCCGUUAAACGACCUUCAUAACCCAAGGUUGACCUCGGAUCAGGUAGGAAGAUCCGCUGAACUUAAGC